UUUUCCCCAUUAGACAAUGGCAGGACCCAGAGCACAGAGCAUCGUUCCCAGGCCAGGCCCCAGCCACUGUCUCUUUAACCUUGAAGGCAUUUUUGGGUCUCACGUGUCCACCCAGGCGGGUGUCGGACUUUGAACGGCUCUUACUUCAGAAGAACGGCAUGGGGUGGGGGGGCUUAGGUGGCCUCUGCCUCACCUACAACUGCCAAAAGUGGUCAUGGGGUUAUUUUUAACCCCAGGGAAGAGGUAUUUAUUGUUCCACAGCAGGGGCCGGCCAGCAGGCUCCUUGAAUUCUUCAGAGGCAGCAGCCAGCCUCAGACACCAUGGUGAGUGGUCAGUGGACCCUUGAGGAAAGAUGUAGGGUGGGUAGCAAAGAGACCCCCUCAAGUCAAGGACCCCAUGGAGGAGGAGGGAAGCCCUCUUAAGAGACCCUAGCCCUGGAUGGACAAGGACCUCGCACCCUCAGAGGGACCCCAAUCCGCUUCCCUAAGGAGCCUCAAACGUAGCUCCCCAGGAAACUUGCAAAAA
rnacentral:lncRNA from 1 species